rnacentral:miRNA from 1 species
GGGUGGUUAGGAACAAUACAACCUGGAUAUGGCUGAAUAUUUUCAGCCAUAUCCAGGUUGUAUUGUUCCUAACCACCCU